ACGGAAGGCAGCAGUGGGGAAUAUUGCACAAUGGGCGAAAGCCUGAUGCAGCGACGCCGCGUGAGUGAAGAAGUAUCUCGGUAUGUAAAGCUCUAUCAGCAGGGAAGAAAAUGACGGUACCUGACUAAGAAGCCCCGGCUAACUACGUGCCAGCAGCCGCGGUAAUACGUAGGGGGCAAGCGUUAUCCGGAUUUACUGGGUGUAAAGGGAGCGUAGACGGUUUGGCAAGUCUGAAGUGAAAUGCGGGGGCUCAACUCCUGAACUGCUUUGGAAACUGUCGAACUAGAGUGCAGGAGAGGUAAGUGGAAUUCCUAGUGUAGCGGUGAAAUGCGUAGAUAUUAGGAGGAACACCAGCGGCGAAGGCGGCUUACUGGACUGUAACUGACGUUGAGGCUCGAAAGCGUGGGGAGCAAACAGGAUUAGAUACCCUGGUA
rnacentral:rRNA from 2 species